rfam:Ipomoea nil DNA, scaffold: scaffold0114, cultivar: Tokyo-kokei standard.
ACACUCAUAGCUUAGUGGUUAAGGCAUUAGUCUUAUAAGUGAAAGGUCUAAAGUUCCAUUCUUAUUGAUAGCA